CCCUUAGAUGUCCUGGGCUGCACGCGCGCUACACUGGAAGUUACGGAUUGAGAUACUACCUUGUCCGAAAUGGUCCGGGUAAUCACCUAAAAGCUUGUCAUAAUUGGAAUGGAUUAUUGUAACUAGUAAUCCUGAACGAGGAAUUCCUAGUAAGUCCCAGUCAACAGCUGGUACUGAUUACGUCCCUGCCCUUUGUACACACCGCCCGUCGCUACUACUGACUGGACGUUUAAGCAAGAUUUUUAAACACUGACAGUGUGUAGUUCACGCUAUACUACAGUGAGAAGAAGAAGAUCGAGCUUACUUGUCUAGAGGAAGUAAAAGUCGUAACA
rnacentral:rRNA from 1 species